rnacentral:rRNA from 1 species
UACGGAGGGGGCGAGCGUUAUUCGGAAUUAUUGGGCGUAAAGGGCGCGUAGGCGGCUCUAUAAGUCAAAGGUGAAAUCCCUCGGCUCAACUGAGGAACUGCCUUUGAAACUGUUGGGCUUGAGGCCGGGAGAGGGUAGUGGAAUUCCCAGUGUAGCGGUGAAAUGCGUAGAUACUGGGAGGAACACCAGUGGCGAAGGCGACUACCUGGCCUGUUCUUGACGCUGAGGCGCGAAAGCUAGGGGAGCAAACGGG